CCAAGAUACAACCGAGUCCAAGCUCCCUUCCGCAAGAUCAGCUUCCAAAUAAGCUUUAAAUCACAGCAGAAUUCCAAUAUCCUUCCGGAUCAAGUCCUAAGCAUCCAGCUCCAUCGUCCGCCGAUUCCUUCCACGUCCACGGCUUGAUCCCAGUUCCUCCCAACCGAACUCCCAGAUUUCCCUCCAAACGUCCAGCAUCAUCCUCUCAUUCACACGUUUCUUCCGCGUUCAUCCUCAUCCAAACCGAUUUCCCUGUUUUCAGCCGUGAAGAACAAAACUCCCAGCAAAUCUAAGAGUUCCAACUUCUUCCGAGUGGCAUCAAACCAUCUUCCAGAUUUGAUCUCUUCCCAGAUCUUCUUCCGGAUUCCUCCCGUCCAAGAUCGGCUUCCACAUCAGUUCAAACUCCCUCCGGAUCACACAUCCUUCUGCAUCCAUAGAUCCUCUGUUCUCCGUAUCCCUCUUCCGAACCAAAUCCAACGCUUUCCCAGCAUUCCCGCUCCAUCCCCUGUUUCGAGUUGAUCCGGAAGAGAUGAAGCAUUCUAUGUGUGAUCAAGCUUAUUUUCCAGCCGAAUCCAGCACCGCUUUCUUCCGGAUUCUCCCAGCAGCUCUUCAACGCCUUCAUCUCACAUCCGGAUCCAAGCUCUUCUACCGUAAUCCCUCUGUGAUUCAAACUUCUCCGCGUUCUUCCCAGCGGAACCGAUUCUAGAACUCAUCCUUAUCCCGGAUCUUCCAAACUUCCUCGUCCACGGAUCUCUCCCACGUCCACGAGCCAAGCCAACUUCUUCAAACGCCUUUCUAGAUAAUUUCCCAGCAUCCCACGGUCAGCCGUGAGCCUCAUCCACAUCAUCCCCUGUUUCUCCGUGUUCAUUCCGAACCAACCCAUCCUCUUCCGUCAGAUUGACCCCAGCAAACUUCUUGACCAACGAUUCCUUCAUCCACGGAUAAGUCUUCAACACCGAACUGAAUGCAAAGAUUAUCUCUCAGAUUAUCUUUCUGAAAUGGAGCCAAAUCCUCUGCAUAAUUCACGGGAUCCCAUCCUCUUCCAGCGUAAUUUCAUGUAAUCUCCCAACAUCCCAUCUCGCCCAU
rnacentral:lncRNA from 1 species